GUGCCAGCCGCCGCGGUACGACGUAGGGAGCGAGCGUUGUCCGGAUUCGUUGGGCGUAAAGAGCGCGUAGGCGGCCGUGCAAGUCGGUUGUGAAAUCCCGGGGCUCAACCCCGGGACUGCGUCCGAUACUGCACGGCUCGAGGCAGGUAGGGGAGAGUGGAAUUCCCGGUGUAGCGGUGAAAUGCGCAGAUAUCGGGAGGAACACCGGUGGCGAAGGCGGCUCUCUGGACCUGUCCUGACGCUGAGGCGCGAAAGCUAGGGGAGCGAACAGGAUUAGAUACCCUGGUAGUCCUAGCCGUAAACGUUGGGUGCUAGGUGUGGGCGGAUAUCGACCCCGUCCGUGCCGAAGCCAACGCAUUAAGCACCCCGCCUGGGGAGUACGGCCGCAAGGCUAAA
rnacentral:rRNA from 1 species